GCCAUCCCCAAGCUUUUUCCCACGCUCCUGCAACCACAGCAGAGAGAAGGGAUGCCAUUCGAGGUGCUCAGUAACCUCACCAAGCGGCCCUAAUGCUUCCACUCCGAGUUUCUGAGGAAUCUGAAGGCACUUCACCUUGAGGCUUGGCUGGUGGAAGCGAUCUUCGGAAGCCGAGUGUACGUCACAUGUCCUGCUUCGAGUGAAUCGGUGGGACCCAGAAAGCGAGGCUGAGAUCUUGAUAUUUGGGAGGCCUUAUUGCCAGAAGGACACAUUCAAGAUGAUCAUGAAUACUUGAUUGACUAUCACGACCAGCUCCAGGUGCAAGCCUCGGAAAAGGCCCUCGCCCAGGAUGUCGACACUCAGAAGGCUGAGACCCACCACUUUCCCAAAGCUGGCCAGGAGGCCAGGACCCAGCCAUCUCUGGAGGCUGCUGGGGAGAUCGGGACUCAGUGGUCUUCAAUCGCAGUCCGGGAGGCUGGGACCCAGCAGCCUCUGGUCGAGGUCAGGGAGGCCAGGACCCAGCAGUCUCUCGAGGCUGCCAGCGAGUGGGGGACCCAAUGUUCUCCCGAAGCUGCCAGCAAGGCAGGGAGUCAGUGAUUUCGCUUGGCCGGUGGUGAGGCUG
rnacentral:lncRNA from 1 species